CGCGGGAGUCGGGCGGACGUGAUCGUCGCGAACCGGGUCAGGUCCUGACGGAAGCAGCCACAGUGAUUUCGUCACGGGUCGUUCCGGCUCCCACCGUC
rfam:Sphingobium sp. Ant17 Contig_526, whole genome shotgun sequence.